CAAUAGCGUAUAUUUAAGUUGUUGCAGUUAAAAAGCUAGUAGUUGGAUUUCGGUUAAGAGCGACCGGUCCGCCGUUUGGUGUGCACUGGUUGGUUUUAACUUCCUGUAGAGGACGUGCUCUGGGUUUAACGACCUGGACUCGGAGUCUACGUGGUUACUUUGAAAAAAUUAGAGUGUUCAAAGCGGGCUUACGCUUGAAUAUUUCAGCAUGGAAUAACACUAUAGGACUCCUGUCCUAUUUCGUUGGUCUCGGGACGGGAGUAAUGAUUAAGAGGAACAGUUGGGGGCAUUCGUAUUUCAUUGUCAGAGGUGAAAUUCUUGGAUUUAUGAAAGACGAACUUCUGCGAAAGCAUUUGCCAAGGAUGUUUNCAUUAA
rnacentral:rRNA from 1 species